rnacentral:rRNA from 1 species
AGUGAACGCUGGCGGCGUGCCUAAUACAUGCAAGUCGAACGAGUGGGCACGGGUGAGUAACACGUGGGUAACCUCCCAUCAGAGGGGAUAACACUUGGUAACAGGUGCUAAACCGAUACUGCUGUGUGGACCCGCGGUGCAUUAGCUAGUUGGUGAGGUAAUGGCUCACCAAGGCCACGAUGCAUAGCCGACCUGAGAGGGUGAGCAGCCACACUAGGACUGAGACACGGCCCAGACUCCUACGGGAGGCAGCAGUAGGGAAUCGUCGGCAAGGGACGAAAGGCUGACCGAGCAACGCCGCUUGAGUGAAGAAGGUUUUCGGAUCGUAAAACUCUGUUGUUAGAGAAGCGGUAUCUAACCAGAAAGCCACGGCUAACUACGUGCCAGCAGCCGCGGUAAUUC